CCUGACGUUGAUCAUUCUCAUACAAUAGUUUGAUUGUAUCGAAAAGAUAUAACCACUCUAUUGAUAUUGGAUGCUUCGAGGUAGAGAUGGAGUUGAGCCCAAUAACUAUUAGGUGAGGGACUCAAUGAUGGUUUUGUAUCUGUUGAUGAAUGGUGGGUCUGACUUAACUAAAAAAUAUGCCAAUAACGAUUAGGUGAGGCCACAGGAC
rnacentral:lncRNA from 1 species